AUUGAACGCUGGCGGCAGGCCUAACACAUGCAAGUCGAGCGGAUGAAGGGAGCUUGCUCCUGGAUUCAGCGGCGGACGGGUGAGUAAUGCCUAGGAAUCUGCCUGGUAGUGGGGGAUAACGUCCGGAAACGGGCGCUAAUACCGCAUACGUCCUGAGGGAGAAAGUGGGGGAUCUUCGACCUCACGCUAUCAGAUGAGCCUAGGUCGGAUUAGCUAGUUGGUGGGGUAAAGGCCUACCAAGGCGACGAUCCGUAACUGGUCUGAGAGGAUGAUCAGUCACACUGGAACUGAGACACGGUCCAGACUCCUACGGGAGGCAGCAGUGGGGAAUAUUGGACAAUGGGCGAAAGCCUGAUCCAGCCAUGCCGCGUGUGUGAAGAAGGUCUUCGGAUUGUAAAGCACUUUAAGUUGGGAGGAAGGGCAGUAAGUUAAUACCUUGCUGUUUUGACGGUACCAACAGAAUAAGCACCGGCUAACUUCGUG
rnacentral:rRNA from 1 species